rnacentral:pre_miRNA from 5 species
AUGUAGGGCAGUCUGUCUUUAAGUAGGGAUAGAUCACUCUAAAAGAAAUAAGUCCUAGAUAGCUUUCCCUCCAAGUCAUCUUGU